rnacentral:rRNA from 1 species
CCUACGGGUGGCAGCAGUGAGGAAUAUUGCUCAAUGGGCUUACGCCUGAUGCAGCCAAGUCGCGUGAGUGAAGACUGCCCUAUGGGUUGUAAACCUCUUUUGUCAGGGAGCAACGCCGGAUACGUGUAGCCUGACUGAGAGUACCUGAAGAAAAAGCAUCGGGUAACUCCGUGCCAGCAGCCGCGGUAAUACGGAGGAUGCGAGCGUUAGCCGGAUUUAUUGGGUUAAAAGGGUGUGUAGGCGGAAUGCCAGUUCAGCGGGAAAAUCGCGGGGCUAAACCGCGCUCCGCCGUUCAAACUGGCGUUCUUGAGUGGGCGAGAAGUAUGCGGAAUGCGUGGUGUAGCGGUGAAAUGCUUAGAUAUCACGAAGAACUCCGAUUGCGAAGGCAGCUUACUAAACUGCCACUGACAUUGAUGCUCGAAAGUGUGGGUAUCAAACAGGAUUAGAUACCCGAGUAGUC